rnacentral:pre_miRNA from 1 species
UAAGUACUCCCUACGUCCGAAAAUACUUGUCAGAGAAAUGCAUAAAAAUGGAUGUAUCUAGAAUUAAAAUAUAUCUAGAUACAUUUAUUUCUCCGAUAAGUAUUUCCGAACAGAGGGAGUACUAC